GUAAAAAGAAAAGCUAAACUUAGGAAAAAUAGAAUUGGGUUAUACAGAACCCAACCCACGAAAAGAAAGGGAAAGAAGAGAGAGGAGGAAGGAAGAAGGAAGAAGGGCUGGCUGCCAGCCGGCGGUGGCUUUGGUGGCCGCCGUCGCACCCCGGUGGUAUCCCGAUGACUGCCGUAUCGCCGGAAAACUAAGAGGCGGUUCUGGAGCUAUCCAGGGUGCCCAACCGCACAGGACCCAAAACUUAAAGGCCUUAUAUUAAAAAAUCAUAUUGGAAUAACAUACUAUUGUGAUAUAAUAGCGGAACAAAUUAGGAAGGACUUGGGUGAGUUACACCUUUUGGAGGACUUGACUUGGGAUAAGGAUAGUUGAAGACGCCAGAUUUACGUGAGUGUAAUUAAUUUUUUUUUUGUUGUGUGUUAAUCAUUUUUGUUUGCUUGCAAUUUGGUUGGUUUUGCCUUCUUGGAUGGUGCUAUAUUUGUAUGUUCUGUCAUAUGUGUUUUUUGCCUUCUGUUUUCG